rnacentral:rRNA from 1 species
AUACGUAGGUGGCAAGCGUUGUCCGGAUUUAUUGGGCGUAAAGCGAGCGCAGGCGGUUCUUUAAGUCUGAUGUGAAAGCCCCCGGCUCAACCGGGGAGGGUCAUUGGAAACUGGAGGACUUGAGGGCAGAAGAGGAGAGUGGGAUUCCAUGUGUAGCGGUGAAAUGCGUAGAUAUAUGGAGGAACACCAGUGGCGAAGGCGGCUCUCUGGUCUGUAACGGACGCUGAGGCUCGAAAGCGUGGGGAGCAAACAGGAUUAGAUACCCUGGUAGUCCACGCCGUAAACGAUGAGUGCUAAGUGUUGGAGGGUUUCCGCCCUUCAGUGCUGCAGCUAACGCGUUAAGCACUCCGCCUGGGGAGUACGGCCGCAAGGCUGAAACUCAAAGGAAUUGACGGGG